GGAUUUUCAGUGUGUGUUUCAGAGUCUUAAAAGCUCAUGCUAGCUUGCUUAACAUACCUGCCAUAACUCAUGAUAUAGAACCCUAUGGAGAACUGUGUUGCAACAUGGAUGCAGUGCCUAUACUAAGGCACAUUGCCAAGCUGAAGACUGUCAGAGAGCAUCACUAACGGAGGACCUAGUUGUCUCACCUGUGGUGGUGGAAAGAGCACCAAGCUUGGAACCAGAGGGCCCAGGUUCGGGUCACUGUCAUCAUGUGAGCAUGGGCAGGGCCACUGUCAUAAGGACGCCUGGAAGAGUGAAGAAAGGCCUGAUUGAUCACAAGGUCCUAUCAAAUGUCAAAGCUGGCCCUGGCUGACCUCCCAUCUAUUCAGAGCUGCUUUGAUUUAAUCUCCAAACUGGCUGCUUCUCCAGGCUGUGAGUUCUAUC
rnacentral:lncRNA from 1 species